CCGAGUUUACAACUCCCAAACCCCUGUGAACAUACCUAUACGUUGCCUCGGCGGAUCAGCCCGCGCCCCGUAAAACGGGACGGCCCGCCCGAGGACCCCUAAACUCUGUUUUUAGUGGAACUUCUGAGUAAAACAAACAAGUAAAUCA
rnacentral:misc_RNA from 1 species